AAAUGAGAUUCGAAAACUCGAUUAACUCGAAAAUUUUCGAUUCAAUUCGAUUCGAUCGAAUGCUCACCCCUAGCCAAUAUGACAAUCCUUUCUUUCUCUUUUUCUUUUUUUAGCCAUACACUGUUUGCUUUUUUGCUCUUGCGUGUUUUCUUCUUAUUUGCAGAGGGAUUGAUGUUGAUGGAGUAGGUGGCAGAGUUGGUGGUUGCCAGAGGUGGUGGCAGCAGAAGGGUCAGAAGAUGCGACGGCGGCAGAAGACCUAGGUGGCUAGGGUUUCUUCUUUUUCUUUUUUCUUUUUUUUUGAUUUGGUGUUGGGCUGCUGUAGGGUUUAGUUGGGUAUUGGGCUAGGUUUUGGGCUAUUGUAAUUUCAUUUGGGCUGGGUAAUAGUUUGGGUUUGCUGUUUGGGUUUUGGUAUCUGCUUGUUGGGCCCGGACAAAAAUUAGUUAUUACAAAUGACAUUCGAUGCUUUUGGGGAAUAAUAAGCUAAAUAGACUAGGUUGUAAUAACAUAUUACAAUGAACCAAACAUGUGCAUUGUAGUGGGCCCACUGACUUAGGCCUAAAUGAAU
rnacentral:lncRNA from 1 species